GAUGGACAAGCAGAGCUGGAGGUAUGCAGGGGGCGGCGGUGCCUUCUUCCUCUAAGUCUCGGCGGUUCCGGUUUCUGGAACCAAGUCCAUCCUCUAGAGAAUGAGAUGCUCACGAGGAUCAUCGAGCAAGGACUGGACGUAAACUCCCGUGUGCCCCAAAGCAGCCUACUUUUGUAAUGCUGCCUGGUCAGGUCUGGCCGUUCUGGCUGCGAUUUCUCAAGAUGCAUUGAUGCCGCGAUGGGGAGGCCAACCGGCUGCUACUGCUAUGUGGCCUUCUCAUAGGCAAGGCCAACCGGUGAUGAUGUCGACCACCGCCGUCGUCGGCAGACUGACACCCAUCUCCACACACAUCAAGUACAAUACCUUGGCAGCUGUCGUGGAGGCUGGAGAUCCAUCUGCUAGCAUGGUCACGAUGCUACCUGUAGGAGGACCUGCGGUUGCUGCAUCUGCACUUCCAGGAGGAAAGGUGGCUAGACCCGUUGGUUGUGCUGCGGCGCCGGUUUCAUCUCCAAUGACUCCCUCUACCGCUGCUAUCGCCUGCAUCAGUAC